UUUGCUUCGUAGUUUUCCAUAUUUUGAACAGACCGACGUCUCGCUAGGAAAAGAGGAAGUCGCGACGAGCGUGUUUUGUGCUCUGCUGUAAAGCGCGUAAUACGGGCGCAAGACGUUUUUGAAGCGCGGCUGGCUGAACGACGGAUGAACGAACGACAGCUCACUUGACCGCAGUUAAGAGACGGCCAGUCUCCGUCUGUGUGACUGAUACGAAGCUGAGGAAGACGCUGGAAACCUGUGCUUCUCUCCUCUCCGAGUUGUGAGAGACGAGAUGGACGAACCACCGAACUCCUCACAUUCUACAAAUCAGCAAUUAAAUCUGUCUGCGU